CCUACGGGAGGCAGCAGUGGGGAAUUUUGGACAAUGGGCGAAAGCCUGAUCCAGCAAUGCCGCGUGCAGGAAGAAGGCCUUCGGGUUGUAAACUGCUUUUGUACGGAACGAAACGGUCUGCUUUAAUACAGUGGGCUAAUGACGGUACCGUAAGAAUAAGCACCGGCUAACUACGUGCCAGCAGCCGCGGUAAUACGUAGGGUGCGAGCGUUAAUCGGAAUUACUGGGCGUAAAGCGUGCGCAGGCGGUUAUAUAAGACAGUUGUGAAAUCCCCGGGCUCAACCUGGGAAUUGCAUCUGUGACUGUAUAGCUAGAGUACGGUAGAGGGGGAUGGAAUUCCGCGUGUAGCAGUGAAAUGCGUAGAUAUGCGGAGGAACACCGAUGGCGAAGGCAAUCCCCUGGACCUGUACUGACGCUCAUGCACGAAAGCGUGGGGAGCAAACAGGAUUAGAUACCCUGGUAGUCCACGCCCUAAACGAUGUCAACUGGUUGUUGGGUGCAUUAGUACUCAGUAACGAAGCUAACGCGUGAAGUUGACCGCCUGGGGAGUACGGCCGCAAGGUUGAAACGUCAAANAGAGUAGAGNGUGAGAGUGCGAGACGACGACGAGGGAGGAGG
rnacentral:rRNA from 1 species